UAGGUGGCAAGCGUUAUCCGGAAUUAUUGGGCGUAAAGCGCGCGUAGGCGGUUUUUUAAGUCUGAUGUGAAAGCCCACGGCUCAACCGUGGAGGGUCAUUGGAAACUGGAAAACUUGAGUGCAGAAGAGGAAAGUGGAAUUCCACGUGUAGCGGUGAAAUGCGUAGAGAUGUGGAGGAAUACCGAUGGCGAAGGCAGCCCCCUGGGU
rnacentral:rRNA from 1 species